rnacentral:rRNA from 1 species
AUUGAACGCUGGCGGCAUGCCUUACACAUGCAAGUCGAACGGCAGCACGGGUGCUUGCACCUGGUGGCGAGUGGCGAACGGGUGAGUAAUACAUCGGAACAUGUCCUGUAGUGGGGGAUAGCCCGGCGAAAGCCGGAUUAAUACCGCAUACGAUCUACGGAUGAAAGCGGGGGACCUUCGGGCCUCGCGCUAUAGGGUUGGCCGAUGGCUGAUUAGCUAGUUGGUGGGGUAAAGGCCUACCAAGGCGACGAUCAGUAGCUGGUCUGAGAGAACGACCAGCCACACUGGGACUGAGACACGGCCCAGACUCCUACGGGAGGCAGCAGUGGGGAAUUUUGGACAAUGGGCGAAAGCCUGAUCCAGCAAUGCCGCGUGUGUGAAGAAGGCCUUCGGGUUGUAAAGCACUUUUGUCCGGAAAGAAAUCCUUGGCCCUAAUACGGUCGGGGGAUGACGGUACCGGAAGAAUAAGCACCGGCUAACUACGUG